GACGAACGCUGGCGGCGUGCUUAACACAUGCAAGUCGAACGGAAAGGCCCUGCUUUUGUGGGGUGCUCGAGUGGCGAACGGGUGAGUAACACGUGAGUAACCUGCCCUUGACUUUGGGAUAACUUCAGGAAACUGGGGCUAAUACCGGAUAGGAGCUCCUGCUGCAUGGUGGGGGUUGGAAAGUUUCGGCGGUUGGGGAUGGACUCGCGGCUUAUCAGUUUGUUGGUGGGGUAGUGGCUUACGAAGGCUUUGACGGGUAGCCGGCCUGGGAGGGUGACCGGCCACAUUGGGACUGAGAUACGGCCCAGACUCCUACGGGAGGCAGCAGUGGGGAAUAUUGCACAAUGGGCGGAAGCCUGAUGCAGCAACGCCGCGUGCGGGAUGACGGCCUUCGGGUUGUAAACCGCUUUCGCCUGUGACGAAGCGUGAGUGACGGUAAUGGGUAAAGAAGCACCGGCUAACUACGUG
rnacentral:rRNA from 1 species